AUGUGUCCUCACUUUUUUGGCUCUUUUGUUGUUCUUUGUUUAUUGGUGGUGGGUUCAUUAAUUAGUGCUAUAUGCCUCACGAGUUGUGGUAAAUUAUUAAGUGCAAUAGAUUGGGAAGCCACCAUCUUAAUUACUACUUAUAUACGAAAUGAAGAUGCAUGUAUUAAAUUACAUUUUGAGUAUGAUAAUCUGUCACUUAAAUAAUAUCUUGUUCAUUGUCAAAUAAUACCCUUUUUUUAAGAUGAAAUGAUUAUCUAAUACUAAAAAAUUUAUUUGUUUAGGUUUCAGACGCAUCUAACGCUCAUAAUAUUCAUCCACAACCUCAUUGCCCUUCAGGUUCAACAUCUUAAUUGCCGAGCUCACUACGACUGGAUCUGAUAUGAUAUUAUUAGAUUUUGUUUUCAUUUCUCUUUCUUUUGGGUUGAAAAGCUAGAAAUUGUUGGUACUGUAAUUUAGUGACUAAAUACUCGUUUAAAGAUAUAUGGAUAAUACCUUGAGACAUUUUGGUAUUAAUUAGUGUAACUACAAAACAUCUUUUAUA